GCCAAGAUAGCUCAGUUGGUAGAGCAUGAGACUUAAUCUCAAGGUUGUGGGUUGGACAAGAUGACCCUCAUGGUC